rnacentral:rRNA from 1 species
GUUGAACGCUGGCGGCAGGCCUAACACAUGCAAGUCGAACGAGUGGCGGACGGGUGAGUAAUGUCUGGGAAACUGCCUGAUGGAGGGGGAUAACUACUGGAAACGGUAGCUAAUACCGCAUACCAUCAGAUGUGCCCAGAUGGGAUUAGCUAGUUGGUGGGGUAACGGCUCACCAAGGCGACGAUCCCUAGCUGGUCUGAGAGGAUGACCAGACACACUGGAACUGAGACACGAUCCAGACUCCGCCGGAGGGCAGCAGUGGGGAAUAUUGCACAAUAUGCGCAAGCCUGAUGCAGCCAUGCCGCAUGUAUGAAGAAGGCCUUCGGGUUGUAAAGUACUUUCAGCGGGGCGGCGUUACCCGCAGAAGAAACACCGGCUAACUCCGUGCCAGCAGCCGAGGUAAUAC